rnacentral:tRNA from 1 species
AUAUAUUUAAGUUAUAAACUAAAAGCCUCCAAAGCUUUAAAUACCUUAUUAGAAUUGCAGUCUAAA